CCUACGGGAGGCAGCAGUGAGGAAUAUUUGUCAAUGGACGAAAGUCUGAACCAGCCAAGUAGCGUGAAGGAUGACUGCCCUAUGGGUUGUAAACUUCUUUUAUGUGGGAAUAAAAUGUUCCACGUGUGGGAUUUUGUAUGUACCAUAUUAAUAAGGAUCGGCUAACUCCGUGCCAGCAGACGCGGUAAUACGGAGGAUCCGAGCGUUAUCCGGAUUUGUUGGGUGUAAAGGGAGCGUAGGUGGAUUGUUAAGUCAGUUGUGAAAGGUGGCGGCUCAACCGUAAAACUGCAGUUGAAACUGGGAGUCUUGAGUACAGGAGAGGUAGGCGGAAUUCGCGGUGUAGCGGUGAAAUGCGUAGAUAUCACGAAGAACACCGAUGGCGAAGGCAGCUCACUGGACUGUAACUGACACUGAGGCUCGAAAGCGUGGGGAGCAAACAGGAUUAGAUACCCGUGUAGUC
rnacentral:rRNA from 1 species